rnacentral:rRNA from 1 species
UACAGAGGUCUCGAGCGUUGUUCGGAUUCAUUGGGCGUAAAGGGUGCGUAGGUGGCGCUGUAAGUCGGGUGUGAAAUCCUGAGGCUUAACCUCGGAACUGCAUUCGAUACUGCGGCGCUUGAGGACUGGAGAGGAGACUGGAAUUCAUGGUGUAGCAGUGAAAUGCGUAGAUAUGCGGAGGAACACCGAUGGCGAAGGCAAUCCCCUGGGCCUGCACUGACGCUCAUGCACGAAAGCGUGGGGAGCAAACAGG